AAUCUGUCUUAGUGGCGGACGGGUGAGUAACGCGUGGGCAACCUGCCCUGUACCGGGGGAUAACACUUAGAAAUAGGUGCUAAUACCGCAUAAUAGGGAAUACCGCAUGGUAAUCCUUUGAAAACUCCGGUGGUACAGGAUGGGCCCGCGUCUGAUUAGCCAGUUGGCGGGGUAACGGCCCACCAAAGCGACGAUCAGCAGCCGGCCUGAGAGGGUGAACGGCCACAUUGGGACUGAGACACGGCCCAAACUCCUACGGAAGGCAGCAG
rnacentral:rRNA from 1 species